rnacentral:lncRNA from 1 species
AUUUAGCCAGGAGCAGCAUUUGUACAAUUGCAAGUUUGCUGCUAGUAUUUGCUUGUGGACAUGAGUCGUCUCUGCAGAAAAACAAACAAACAAACAAACAAACAACAUAAUUUUAAGCUUCGGAGUAUAGAAAAAGCAUCAACAUUUGCUAAGGGACAGAAACACAAUGAACUCUAAAGAAAAAGCAGUAGAAAUAUAUUCUUUGAGCUCUUCAUUGGCAAACAGGAGGAAACAAUGACUUUGUUUAAGGACAUUAAAGGUAGAUCAGACCUUGCUGGAAGGUAAUAUAGAAAUAUAUAAGCUGGCAUGGCAGCUGUGCAGAAGAAUUGCAUAGAUUUUUUUAGAUUAAAUCUGAAUUAUUGAAUUUAAAAGACCAUGAAUGCAUUUAGCAGAUUAAGUAGAGCUAUAAAAAGAAUUACCAAAGUGUUAUCUCAGAAGAAGUUAUUAACACACAGAAAAGCAUGCAAACAGAAAAACUUUGGAAAAUAAUUUUUAAAAUGUUAAAGAUAUGUGAAGUAAGGAUUUAAAGAAGACAAAAGCAGUUUUAUUUGAAGAGCUGAUAAGGAGACUGUUCCAAGAUAUCAUAGAUGAAAGGAAAAUGUAAGUGAGCAGCUCUAAGCACAACCUAUGAGCAAGCUCAUGCCUGUAAAUACUCACAGAUCCACAGGUAUCAAAAAGAGGGAUUUUGAAAGGAGCUAGGUAGAAUAAAAAGUAGCUCAGAAUGUAAGGCUUUGAAAUAAUUUUUCAAUAAGAUGAAUGACUAUCCAAAGACAGUAGAACUGUGUGUUGACAAAAAACAAGAAAAAAAAAAAAAGGAAAAAAUAGAAAGAAAAAGAAAGAAAAGAACUACCAGCCUAUAAAACUGUGUGCCUUGGAAAUAUUUUAAUAAAGAAAAUAUUCUUGCAUAUCAGUAUCAUAGAGAUAAGCAAAGAUGUGAUAUGGAGUUCAGAAUGGUGACUACAGAAAAACAGAAGGGAUCACAGAUCAUAGGCCUUAACACACCAAGGAACAUGGGGCUAAUGAACUCGGGAUAGAAAUGUUAACGUUACAGCUGAUGUGUAAUAGAAUUUUAAAAGCAAGGGAGAAUUAAAAUUCAUGAGUUAGUAACUUAUGUUAGGAUGAGAGCUAAAGAAUAAAAAAAAAAUCAGAGUUAGUUUUUUUUCAAAUACCGUGAUGAUGGAAUCAAAAUAUUAGAAAGAGUAGGUAAAUCCCAACUGUCAGCAAGGUAGGGGUUGGAUAAUUGAAUAAAUCCAACAAUCAAAAAGAAGGCAAACAAAAAAAC